rnacentral:rRNA from 1 species
GAUGAACGCUGGCGGCGUGCCUAAUACAUGCAAGUCGAGCGAACGGACGAGAAGCUUGCUUCUCUGAUAUUAGCGGCGGACGGGUGAGUAACACGUGGAUAACCUACCUAUAAGACUGGGAUAACUUCGGGAAACCGUAGCUAGUACCGGAUAAUAUUUUGAACCGCAUGGUUCAAAAGUGAAAGACGGUCUUGCUGUCACUUAUAGAUGGAUCCGCGCUGCAUUAGCUAGUUGGUAAGGUAACGGCUUACCAAGGCAACGAUGCAUAGCCGACCUGAGAGGGUGAUCGGCCACACUGGAACUGAGACACGGUCCAGACUCCUACGGGAGGCAGCAGUAGGGAAUCUUCCGCAAUGGGCGAAAGCCUGACGGAGCAACGCCGCGUGAGUGAUGAAGGUCUUCGGAUCGUAAAACUCUGUUAUUAGGGAAGAACAUAUGUGUAAGUAACUGUGCACAUCUUGACGGUACCUAAUCAGAAAGCCACGGCUAACUACGUG